GACGAACGCUGGCGGCGUGCUUAACACAUGCAAGUCGAACGGAAAGGCCCUGCUUUUGUGGGGUGCUCGAGUGGCGAACGGGUGAGUAACACGUGAGUAACCUGCCCUUGACUUUGGGAUAACUUCAGGAAACUGGGGCUAAUACCGGAUAGGAGCUCCUGCUGCAUGGUGGGGGUUGGAAAGUUUCGGCGGUUGGGGAUGGACUCGCGGCUUAUCAGCUUGUUGGUGGGGUAGUGGCUUACCAAGGCUUUGACGGGUAGCCGGCCUGAGAGGGUGACCGGACACUGUGGGAGGGUGGUACGGACCGGGGUCGGGCGGGGGGCCGCGGGGGGGAUGAUCGCACGCGGGGAGGACGAGGGGAGAGGCAGGGCGGGGUGGGGGAGGCGGGGCGGGGGGUUGUACGCCGCUGGCCCGUGGGACGAGGGGUGGGUGACGGGAGUGGGAAAAGAAGCGCCGGCUAACCAGGUGCCAGGAGACGGGGUAAAAAGGGAAAGCGCAGAGGUCUGACU
rnacentral:rRNA from 1 species